ACGCGACUUACUCCGAAGGUACGUUGGGCGUACUCAAGCCUUGACCGCAUUCGGGAUGGUUAACCUCGUACGCGCUGCGUACUUAGGUACGUAGGGCGUCCCGAAUACCGACUCCACCCAAGUCCUAAAUGUCCAAACAUUUCCCAUUAAUAAAAUAACCAUAAUUUCCUAAUUUAACCUUCUUCAAACUUGGUCAAAGCUAACAAGUCAACUGAGUCAAGCCAACCAAGUCAAAUCAACCGAGUCGACACAGAACGCGUAUACGCGACUUACUCCGAAGGUACGUUGGGCGUACUCUAGCCUUGACCGCAUUCGGGAUGGUUAACCUCGUACGCGCUGCGUACUUAGGUACGCAGGGCGUACACCCGGACCUCUCAAAUCUCCAUUAAGAGCUUAAUCCCUUAAGUAUCCAUGUCCAUCUUUCAGAUCCAAGACCAAAAUACGACUAGGAGUUAUAAAGUUUCCAACUUUAUGACUUUUCAUGUUCAUUAAGUGCUUAACUCAACCUCUUAAUGCAUUAAGACCGUCUAAGGAAUGCAUGGAGUGAAACUAACCGCCAAUGCUACAUUUUUAUGAAUUAAGACCCCUCCAAAGAUCU
rnacentral:lncRNA from 1 species